CCGGUCCCCAAACUGAAGGAGGUUCCUCUGCAGUGCAGGACAUGUCGGCUGACGAAACAGGAAAAUAAGCUGUUUAAACCAAAAAGGUCCGCAUGGAGCUGGAGCUCCGCCUGAAUUUCGGGAGAUUUUCGGGAGAAAAUCUGUCCCGGGAGGUUUUCGGGAGAGCCGCUGAAUUUCGGGAAUCCCCCGGAAAAUCCGGGAGGGUUGGCAAGUAUGCUUUGCUAAAUAGCUCUUGAUCCAGGACAGAACUGGCCCUCGGAUGCCGUACUUAUCCAACUUAUUUAUUAACUGUCUGUGGUCAAUGGUAUCGAAG